rnacentral:rRNA from 1 species
CAGUCGUACCUGCGGACAAUCAGCUUUUUGAGUGUGAUUAUGUGGAUUGUGAGGAGUUUAAUCCCCCUCAUGUUUUACGUAUUCGUGCUCUUGGGUGUACUUGCCCGUGUGGUAGGUUAACAUCAAUUUUGGUCGUCAUAAAAUGACUGGAGGAAUGUAGCUUUGGUCUCGUAUCGAAGUGUUAUAGCCUCGGUAGAUGUGAUGAUCGGGAUUGGAGGAACUCAGCACGCCGCGAAGGUCCGGGUUUUUAACCACGUACGUGCUUAGGAUGUUGGCAUAAUGGUACUUUAAUCG